rnacentral:rRNA from 1 species
GACGAACGCUGGCGGCGUGCUUAACACAUGCAAGUCGAACGGAAAGGCCCUGCUUGCAGGGUACUCGAGUGGCGAACGGGUGAGUAACACUUGGGUGAUCUGCCCUGCACUUCGGGAUAAGCCUGGGAAACUGGGUCUAAUACCGGAUAGGAGCCAUUUUUAGUGUGAUGGUUGGAAAGUUUUUUCGGUGUAGAAUGAGCUCGCGGCCUAUCAGCUUGUUGGUGGGGUAAUGGCCUACCAAGGCGGCGACGGGUAGCCGGCCUGAGAGGGUGGACGGCCACAUUGGGACUGAGAUACGGCCCAGACUCCUACGGGAGGCAGCAGUGGGGAAUAUUGCACAAUGGGCGCAAGCCUGAUGCAGCGACGCCGCGUGGGGGAUGACGGCCUUCGGGUUGUAAACUCCUUUCGCUAGGGACGAAGCUUUUGUGACGGUACCUAGAGAAGAAGCACCGGCUAACUACGUG